UCCCAGACUCCUACGGGAGGCAGCAGUGGGGAAUAUUGCACAAUGGGGGAAACCCUGAUGCAGCGACGCCGCGUGGGUGAAGAAGUAUUUCGGUAUGUAAAGCUCUAUCAGCAGGGAAGAUAAUGACGGUACCUGACUAAGAAGCCCCGGCUAACUACGUGCCAGCAGCCGCGGUAAUACGUAGGGGGCAAGCGUUAUCCGGAUUUACUGGGUGUAAAGGGUGCGUAGGUGGCAUGGCAAGUCAGAAGUGAAAGCCCGGGGCUCAACCCCGCGGACUGCUUUUGAAACUGUCAGGCUGGAGUACAGGAGAGGUAAGCGGAAUUCCUAGUGUAGCGGUGAAAUGCGUAGAUAUUAGGAGGAACACCAGUGGCGAAGGCGGCUUACUGGACUGUAACUGACACUGAGGCACGAAAGCGUGGGGAGCAAACAGGAUUAGAUACCCUGGUA
rnacentral:rRNA from 1 species